CCUGUCCAGCUCUUGCCUUUUUCACAUUCAGUAUCUACAUGUAAAGGGAGCAGACACAGGAAAAAGGUAUUGAAGACCCUUGAUAUGAUAUUGCUGUUUUUGUUUUAGAUUCCAAAGUUAACCCUUUAAUUUAUCCCUUUUCCCCAAGUAGAACGCUGCAUUUACUUUACAUUUUGCUUUGGAGUCGGAAGUUCCAAAAUCACCAGGAGAGCUCCUCAGGCAUCUCCUGCCUGUAAUUCCUGGGAAAUGCCACCUGCCACCCAUCCUUGGAAGCGUCGCCCAUUCUCAGGAUCUCAUGCGUCACCAUUCAUCACAGUCACAGCGCUUGCAGACAUCUGGAUAAAAGGAAAAGCCCAUUUUUUUAAAACUUACACGUUAAAUUUUCCUCUAAUUACCAUUUUAUUAUUUUAAAUUUCAUUAUGUUUAAUUACAUUUAGUAUGGAUUAAGGCACAGCCAGCCUGGAUUAAGGCAUCACCAGCCUGGCAUCAGACUCUCCGGACAAUGCCAGCCCAGAGGGGGCUGACCUGGAGGACAUUCCCCCGGAGGACAUGGAGUGGGAGCCUCCAGGUCUUGACCUGAGUCCCACUCCGUGGUGUCAGCCCCGUGGCCAAAGUUUCCCCAGCCGAGGAGGCUAUCGCCGCGACAACGGCAGGGUCAACAGAAAUCCAGUCGUGGGCUCAGCUCCGGGAGGAAAAAACGAGGGUCCCUGGUUUGGUCCAGUUCCUGUCCUGCCUGCCCCUCGACACCCUCCGACUCUGCCAACCCCUCGCCGUCUACCGAUGCUGUUCUUCCCUCGGCUGCCGCAGACGAGUAGAGCUUCUACAGACCCAGACAGGAUUCCAAAGGCCCCCCUGGCCGUGACCCUUCUGCGGCACCCCGGAGCCCAUCAGAGGCCCUGAACUGUUCACUUUACCUCCCAUGCUACCUAGUGUCUUGCCCCUCCUAAUACCUCAGUCUUUGGUCUGUAGUCUUGCUUCCCCGUGGCUCUCCCUGGUUUCACCUCUUAGCCUGAUUUCACUGUUCCAGCCCCCACUCCAGUCACUCUUGCUUCCCGCUUUAGGUUCCCCUCUCCUGGCCAUAUUAUUGUUGCACUGGUUCCGUUGCUUGCCUGUCUUGUCUGGUUGUGUCCUGCCUUGUCUGUCCCUGUGUCGUCUUUGGUCCUUUUGAUGCCCAAUCCCUCCCUUUUGUCUCCUUCUACUGUGUCCUUUGUUCCCACUUACCCACUGACACCCACUGUCUGUCUUUUGGUCCAUAGUCAGCAUCCCUGUUGGAUUACCUGGCCUGUCAUGAUUUGUGUCCUGGGGGUUAGUCUCCCCUGUUGUCCUUGGUUUUGCCCUGGUCUGUGUGUCCCCUCAAUGAUGCCCUUGUACCCGGAGGGCACAGGAUUGGGAGGGGGGCGUUUACUGUCAUAUCUUGCCCAUUUAAUCAACUUUACCCUCCAGUUCUCCUCCCUGAUGAGCCACGCUUGGUGUCUAUUAGUCUCAUCCCAUGUUCCUCCCCUUCUGUCAGUCACUAUCAGCUUCCUUGUGUUUUCCCAUUCCUUAGUCUGGUAAAGUGCCCAGUCCU